rnacentral:lncRNA from 1 species
AGCAGCGUUUUUUUUUUUCCUCCAUAGUAAAAAACCUACAGGAUACCACCACCAAAGGAAAAAACAAGUUUUUUUCAGUAAACCUCACAAGAGCAUACAUUUGAUAGAAUACACGGAUUUUCUAAUGAAAGCUCGCCGUCACCAUUUUAUAAGUCAGAACAUGAAAGUCAAAAUAUCUCAUACAGAUGUCUUUUUUUUUUGAGAAGGUACACAAGGCUUGCUUGUAGAGAUGGAGUUACAUGGAGGGACAGAAGGUCACUGGUCAGUGAUUUUAGGUUUUUAUACUUCUGAAAACAGGUAAUUACAGAUUCUGAUCAGUUUAUCAUUUUCUUUAGUCUUUUAUUUUCUGCUGAAUGCUCUCAAGGGAACGGAUCCAUACCUGUUUAUCAGGCUCACCUGGAAGAGCCAAGUCAUCCACUCAGGUCUUCCUCUGGACCUGCAUAAUUUCCUCAUUUACUAGAUUGGGUUUCUUUUAUGUGUGGGCUUUUAAUGCUUGGUAUCUCUGGUCUUCCUAAUAUGUAAUGCUUAGCAUAAUAAUUUUAGCCAUUAUUCAUUUUUGUAGUAGGCUUCACUAGCUUCCUGCUUCUCAAAUCCCUUGAAAAGAUGAGAUUUUUUUUUCGUGGAGUUCACGUCUAGUAAGUUGGUCUUGAUUUUUUUUUUCUUUCAGAACCUUCUGGAUUUCAGCUUUGGCAAGCUUCCUCUGUUUCUGAGACACCUCCAUCACCUGGGUUACAAUCCCAUCCAUGAUUUUCCCCAUCUCCAGGCAUUUUUCAUGGAAAGCUCCUCAUGCUUUUUAAUUCCAGUUUAUCCAUUUGUGUGGCUUUAACCUCCACAUCCAGGUCUUUCUGGCUAAACUGCAGUAUAUCCACAAUGGGGCCAAUGGACACAUAAGGGAGGCCCUAUCACAGGAACACGAACACCCGGAGUCGCUAGAAAUCAGAUUCCACCGGCUUUGCUUCAGGCCGACUUCCUAAGGAAGGCAUGGUAGCAUCACAGAUGCUGUUUGUCUCAGUUUCCUGAGAAGCCAGUUUCUUAGAGCUGUCAUUCAAGAGUGGGUCAAAUUUGAGAUAUAAAAACCUUUCUCAAGGUAGACUCUUUGGCCCCUAUGCCUAGUAUGUCAGCUGGGCCUCUGAAGCUCUCCUCUUUGAGGUCCUGGCAGGCUCUGGCCCCUGUUGAGAAGGGGAAGCAGUCAUGUGAACUCAUGUGCUGGAAGAAUCCACUCUACCCCUUCCCUGGCUUCUCUGCUGCAAUUUUUGUCUUUAAACGUAUUUUCAGGUGAUUCCAGUUUGCAUACAUAAUUGAGAAAUAUAAGAUUUGGUCCCCAGUAGAGAGCCAGGUGAACUUAAGAAGGAGUCCAUCUAAGAAAAUUGCACAAUUAUCUAGUUUCACUUGGGUUUAGCUUUUAUGGCUUACUUGAUUUAGUAAUCAAAUGAUUUUCAAAUGAUUUUGAUCAGGUGACUCUUCGUAAACUAGAGAAUGAACUUGAGAGCCGAAUUAGCACAGUUUAAAAAUAAUCAUUUAGUUUUUGUUCUCUAUUGUGUAAAUUAUUGAGGUUUGACUGUCUUGGCUAAACUAAGGCUCAUCUAAUAUCUUUAUUUUUGAUAUCCUAAUUUCUUGCCAAUUAAUUGAAGGUAACAUACUAGCAGACCAGAUAACUACUUAUGCAAACCUCAGAUAACCACUAAUUUAAACAAAAUUAAAUCCUUUGCCUUCCCCAGAUCCUUUGCACAUGGCCUGCUAUCAACAAUCCUCUACAAUGAUUCUCAGCAUCACCUAGGGAGCUUAUGUAAAAUCUCAAAUUCCUGGGCCCUAUCCCCAGAGUUUCUUAUCAAGUAAGUCUGCAUUGGGAUCUGAGGAUUUGCAUCUCUAACAAAAAUUCCUAGGCGAUGCUCACACUGUUGGUGUAAGGGUGAGUACAAAUUAGAAAUAAAACUAUUUAAUUCUGCCUGGUGCAAAGGAGAGAGAGAGACUUUUACCCUCCACAUCCUUUUCUUUGGUCAUUUACUUUAGGAAACUUAAUUGUAAGCUUUUUCUGUGCCUCUUUGAAAUGCCUGUAAAUCUUUCCAAAAACUAAAUUAGGCUUUUGCCAAUUUUACAACCUAAGAAUGUGAAUUCCUCAAGGACCUGGGAGCUAUCUCACUGAAAUUUAAUCAUUGAGAAAAAUAGUACCCCUAUCUUUCAGCUUCCUGGAAACAUAAGAGCCUAACUUUAUUAGGCACCUUGCUCCAUUACAAAGCUAUCUUCUGUCAUAAAGAUACAAGAAAUUUAUUUUUCCCUUGGACAAAAGCAACUAACUAGCAGAGGGUCACCAAAAUUACCAGGUGAAUUUAGGGUGAACUCUGUGUGACAAAUGGUGCUGCCAAGUUCUCUUGAGUACUAUAGAAAGUGCAUGACAUGAAUUUUUUACUUCAUGAUGGUGCAAAACCAUUGCUUU